CAGCUACACCAUGUUGUAACACCAAUUCCCAUACAAUCACCAAAGUUAAGCAACACUGAGCCUGGUCAGUACCUACAUGGGUGACAGCUUGCGAAUAACAGGUGCUGUAA